rnacentral:siRNA from 1 species
AGAUGGGAGGAUCGCCUCACUAAG